UGGUCUUAAUAUAUCCUUAUCUACUACUUCUCAUUCAUGAGUUAGGAUUUCACUAUUCCUACAAAACCACCAAUCAUGUUGCGCCAUGUGUCUUUCUUUUAUUAUUUUUUCGAAUUUUGUUUUUUUAGCUGGAGUCUAUUACUUCCAGAUCUGAGGGCCCAUAAUUGCCUCAUCAAACUCCAUCUUUUAAUCUGGUCCGUCCAAUUGAAUUAUUCUAAAUCUCCCAAACCUACCCUGUUCUCUCUCUCUUCCAACACUAACAAGCUGCAAAGGGGGAAAUGCUCAGAAGUCGACCCUAAUCCCCACCAUCACGUGGCCACCUCCACCGCACCACCUCCUCUAUUCCCCUCAAACCCACCACCACCGAUCACCUCUUCACCAUCAGAAUUGCGCGGCCACCUUCAGCAAAACCUAAAUCGAGCACCACCACCAUCGCUCCCUUUCUUUCCAGAUCGUGCCACCGCCGGCGCCGUUCCGUCCUUUUCCCCUGAUUUCUCGCUUACUCUGUAUCAACGUCACUGAUUUCCCCCAUUUCCAGCGGUUACCGACGUCACUCGGCGCAAAAUACUUACUUUCCACGACCCUCAGCGUGCUCCCACGGAUUCUCCGGUGAUUGCCAUCACAUCUCCCUAUCAACCAUCACGUGGAUAUGUGUACUCUGGAGCUUACUUUUGUAAAUCUAUGGUUCUGCUGGAGCAACUAAUAAAAUUAUGCAGGAGGGGCAAUGGUAAUUGUGCAGGAAGAUUUCCUUUGAAGUUGCUGAUACUCUAGAGCAACAUUUCCCUGAUGGUCAGUUUGAUCUGGUGUGGUCCAUGGAGAGUGGCGAGCAUAUGCCUGACAAACCUAAGUUUGCUGGAGAGUUAGCUCGGGUGGCAGCACCAGGUUGGACCAUAAUAAUUGUAACAUGGUGCCACAGGGAUCUUGGCCCAGCUGAAGAAUCCCUGCAGCCAUGGGAGCAGAAUCUCUUGAAGAGGAUAUGUGAUGCAUUUUACCUUCCAGCAUGGUGCUCAACUGCUGAUUAUGUCAAAUUGCUGGAAUCCCAUUCACUUCAGGAAUGAAAACCAUAAAAGGAGCUUUGGCUAUGCCAUUAUGAUAGAAGGAUUCAAGAAGGGUGUCAUCAAGUUUGCCAUUGUUACAUGUAGCCAAUUGGCUUUGCAAUCCUGUACAUAAGCAUAGGGAGCUACUUACUCUAAUCUGGUGGGAGUACUAGCAGGGGAGCAAAAUGACAUCUCUUUCACAAAGUACAUCCAUAUUUUUUUUAGUAUAAUCUAAGUAAGCUAAAAUCUUGAUGUAGUGUAUAGAUCAUGCAGUCUAUGUUAUGUUUCGUAAAAAUAACAAUUAAUACGAAUAUAAUAUGUAAAUAUUUUAUUGAUUACUAAAUUUAACUUUAAAUAAUAUUCCAACAAUUUGUAUA